AUAAGCUGUGUCUUAUUACAUUAUUUUAAAAACUUUAAGACCAACCCCGCGUGUUUAAAAUUUAUUUUCUGGGCAAACACAUCAUUUGUGUUUGUGUUGUGUGUUAAUACUUUUAAAGUUUAAAACUGAUAAGUAAAUACUUUUCGCUCUCGAUAAAACAAUGGAGGGGCGGGGGGUCGUUCUAAAGCAGCACAACCAAUUGAAAAAUGUCUUGUGUUAUGUAGGUGUGGUUACACCAUUGGUGCAUAUUCUUAAAUGCUCCGGCCUGACAGAGUCGCAGCGCAUCCCUGGAGCUGUCAGACACCGCCCGUUGUUGGGAGCUGCGAAGAUGGCUUCUUUGUGUGGAGAAACAUCGGGGUCCGCUACUCUACAAAGUGAAGAGACCCGGGUGUGCCAUCGUCCGAAGAAUGAAGAAUUUCGAAUGUAUACGUCUGAAUUCUUACUAAGAGUGCUUUACACACUUCUCUCUACAAAGCUUGAUAUGCAAAACAAAGAGUCGAAUGCUAAUGUCCUUAAAUUUGUUAAAGAGAUAGAUGCGUAUGUCAAGAACUUGAGUGAAAUUAUUGCAGAUCUGAUGUUUUCAGAUCAGAAACGGAAGCCUGGGGGGUUGGGGAAGCCUACAGUGUGUAUUCCAAAAUACAGUGUGUUUUGCACAGAACCUGUGGUAACACCAUCCCGCUGAUUACGCAGGCAAAUGUUUUUGCUCUGCUAGAUCGGAUCACCCAGUGUGGUUCGCAUGGCUUUAGACAUAGGGAGCGGAAGGGGGUUAUGAAUGCUUUUUCAGAUGCCUCAAAGUUUCUCAGCAAUUUUGGGGUGGUGGUUACGCGUACCGAACUAAUUUUCCGCACCAACAUUUAAUUGUUGAAUGCAAACAGGAGCCGGUAACGCGUGUGUACUGCAAUGUUUCAGCGUUUGAAAACCCACUGUUGAAAUAAAGCGGUUCACAUUUCACAUACUUGCA
rnacentral:lncRNA from 1 species